rnacentral:rRNA from 1 species
UACGAGGGGGGCGAGCGUUGUUCGGAAUUAUUGGGCGUAAAGGGUGCGUAGGCGGUUUGGUAAGUCUGAUGUGAAAUCUAUGGGCUCAACUCAUAGUCUGCAUCGGAAACUGCCGGGCUUGAGUGUGGGAGAGGUGACUGGAAUUCCUGGUGUAGCGGUGGAAUGCGCAGAUAUCAGGAGGAACACCGGUGGCGAAGGCGGGUCUCUGGGCAGUAACUGACGCUGAGGAGCGAAAGCGUGGGGAGCGAACAGG